rnacentral:lncRNA from 1 species
CUUUUUUUUAGGUACACAUUGUAACAUUUAGACUUCCUGUAUCUUCAAAUUCUAGAAGCCUCAAUAGACAACUACUCAAAAAGACUUUUCUCAGAGGGAGUUCACUUGUAGGACUGCAUUUAAUUGGAGCAGACUUCUAAUUAGUAACAAAAUUAAUAUUUAAAAAAGAAUGAAAAAACAUAUACACACUGGAGUGUGCAAGAGUAUUACAUACAAGCAGCAGAAGACAACACUGAUCAAAAACAUUACUGGAGUGCCGCUUGGGUUACUGCGGGUGCUGCAGGCUUGGGAACAUGGCCAGGCUGCACCCUGAUGCCCACAGAGGAAAGUCCUAAGCACUACCCUUGUGCUCAUGAGGAGAAAAGGAAGGGCCAGCAGGGAGCUGCUGGGUAACCAGUGCAGUGCUUGUUUUGGGCUCCCAGAUGAGCCAUGGAGAUGACUAAAAUCCCCAAGUCCUCCCAGAAAGCCUUACACUGCACAUGAGGACAAUUCCUUCUCACCUUGCUGGAUAUUUAGGAAAAACCUGGCCCCAGGGCUUAAACUAAAUCAAUGGGGAUUGGGAGCGCUCAGAAUACUUAAAAGAAAUAUUCUGUUCCUGCAAUCAGCUUUUUCUUUUUGGACUGUGCUUAUGGCCACACAUAUGCCAGCAUCGCAGCUAGAAGAGACAUGUUUGUGCUCUUUGUGACUGUAAACAACUUUUCACAGUGAAACACUUGUGCUCCUCGUAUACUGCUCUUCUGUAUGCUUCAGGAAUUUUUCACUCAUCUAGACAGCAAUGCAAUUUUGAACUUUCCCAGGGUAGCAGUAACCUCCAGUCUUCACGUUUUGUAAUAUGUUCCAUAUGUUUCUUGAUGAUCACACACAUGAAAAAUCAUAGACUAUGUGUCAGAGUAUAUAUGUAUGGAUUCAGCAUCCAUCCCUUACUGCAUGGUAGCUCUCUUUGGAGGGGAGAGGCUCAUGGCAUUUCAAUACUGGAGAGCAAAAUCUGUUGCAAAUCUCUAAGGACGAACCCUCCUUAUGGUGCCCGAGUGAUUUCUGUUUGCAGGCAGUCAGUAUUAUCACAUAGUCCACAGUUUAUUGCAGAGAUACAGCACGAACAUUUUUGUGGGCUAUGAUAGGUGAGCGUGUUUCAUUAGCUGCUGCUAAAUUGCUCCAACUCCAUCCACUUCAGUGGAGUUAGAGCAACUGAAGAACAUAGAUGGCUUUGUGGGACUGGGGGCAGUCAGCCUCACGCAGGCAGUUUUCGUUCGUCAGCCCAGCAAGCUCCCUGGAUGGAGAACAGGAGCUGUCUAACUGCUCUAAAUCAAAAAUUAAAUUUGGAGAGUGCCCCUUUUGAAGAGCACAGGCAGAGUCUCACCUGCUAUGAAAUCUGUAGAAACAUUAUUAUAUUUAAUGCUUAACAAUUGAAUCAGUGAAGCUAAGUCAAUUUAAGCCAGCUGAAGAUCUACAGUCCAUUUAUUUUUGAAAUAUUUUGAAUUUUUUCUUUGCUGUUUUGGUUCUUCCUGCUUAUUCAGUUUCUCCUGACAAGGUGUAUGAACAAAGGGAGAGGAACAAAGUCAAAUAAUAAAACCUUGUUUCAAUACA